GACGAACGCUGGCGGCGUGCUUAACACAUGCAAGUCGAACGAAGAGCGAUGGAAGCUUGCUUCUAUCAAUCUUAGUGGCGAACGGGUGAGUAACGCGUAAUCAACCUGCCCUUCAGAGGGGGACAACAGUUGGAAACGACUGCUAAUACCGCAUACGAUCUAAUCUCGGCAUCGAGGAUAGAUGAAAGGUGGCCUCUACAUGUAAGCUAUCACUGAAGGAGGGGAUUGCGUCUGAUUAGCUAGUUGGAGGGGUAACGGCCCACCAAGGCGAUGAUCAGUAGCCGGUCUGAGAGGAUGAAAGGCCACCUUGGGACGGAGACACGGCCCAGACUCCUACGGGAGGCAGCAGUGGGGAAUCUUCCGCAAUGGACGAAAGUCUGACGGAGCAACGCGGCGUGAGUGAUGACGGCCUUCGGGUUGUAAAGCUCUGUUAAUCGGGACGAAAGGCCUUCUUGCGAACAGUUAGAAGGAUUGACGGUACCGGUAUAGAAAGCCACGGCUAACUACGU
rnacentral:rRNA from 1 species